rnacentral:rRNA from 1 species
UACAGAGGUCCCAAGCGUUGUUCGGAUUCACUGGGCGUAAAGGGCUCGUAGGUGGCCAACUAAGUCAGACGUGAAAUCCCUCGGCUUAACCGGGGAACUGCGUCUGAUACUGGAUGGCUUGAGUUUGGGAGAGGGAUGCGGAAUUCCAGGUGUAGCGGUGAAAUGCGUAGAUAUCUGGAGGAACACCGGUGGCGAAGGCGGCAUCCUGGACCGACAUUGACGCUGAGGCGCGAAAGCCAGGGGAGCAAAGCGGG